rnacentral:tRNA from 1 species
CGGGGCGUAGCUCAGCCCGGCUAGAGCGCCUGGUUUGGGUCCAGGAGGUCGCAAGUUCGAAUCUUGUCGCCCCGA